AUUCAGAGCUUGUUGUCCAGGGCAAAGGAUGGAGGAGGUGGUGUCCCUGAUUAAAACAACACAAAUACUGUUUUCAAAAAUGUAGCUGGCUGGUGCCCAUGUUGUUUUAAUUUGCUGGGACCAGAUUGUCCAGCCCUCGUGGAUUUGAUCCCAGACGGGCUCGUUUGACUUAUUCAGAGAAAAACUCUGCUUUCAGCCACAUGCUGUCCCCCUCACCCUGGCCAAAUGUGUUGCAAUCCUCACUAAAGGUCCCAACAGUUGUUGUCCAGGAACCCUGAACCCACCUUCUGGUUCCCAUCUCCAGAUGCUACUCGCAUGUCCUCCACGUGCCACUGGCCCCAGGAGGACACCACAGAGCUUGUCUAGGCUUAACCUCCAAGUGAAACAAGACGAGCUGCAAGUAUAUGCUUGGCAGCCUGGAGAACACUGGGAGAUUAUGAAGACAGUCUCUCCUUUAAAAAUGACCAUGAUCUCACUCCUCCUCCCACCCCCAUGGAAACUGGAGCACAGCUCAAGGAGACCCGCUGUCACAGGAUCCUGCUUACGGGCACAAAAGCCGGGAAAUUUCAGAGCCAAUCUGGGCCAAGGGAGGCCGGAGCUCGUGAGCUGGGCUGAAAUGAUUCUUCCAGACUGCAGAGAAAAGCGUGGCCUGCCCGCUGGCCAGCCUGCCCAGCGGCAAACAGGAAAUCCCAGAAUUUAUAGAUGACCCCGUUACAAGGCAAAUGUUUUGGAACAAAUUGUUCUUCUUUUUAAAUCCUUGUUUUUCACUAGUUUUUCUUUCUGGAUUCCCCCCUCCUUUCCACCUUCCCGCUGUCCUUGUUAAACUGGGGACACAGCGCCACCUGCUGCCUGUUGUGGGCGGCGGGACUCCGCUGGGACCGGCCCUGGGUCCUGUCCCCAGUUCCCCUUCCCUACACUGGGUGGGACAGUGGCUUUCUGGCUCCUGUCCCGAGAGUCUGUGCUUAAGAUCACGUACCAAGCUGCGAGAGAACUGCUCCCGUGGUUAUUAUGUGACCUGAAGAUGCGCGGUAAACUCUCUCCCCAUCACCCGUCCUCUGGGAGGGCCAAAACCGGCGGAAAAAGCAAAUCACGUGGCAUCACCGUCCAAGGCCAGGUCUCCACUCCCUGCACACCAGCUGUACCAGCUCUGGCCAAUCCCGUCAACCCAACGAGCCUCAAUGUCUUCUGGACCCAACUGUGGCUCAACUCGACCCAGGCGGCAUGGAGAACAUAGGUGCGUGUGCCUGGCCCACGGACAACGCUGCAUCAGCAUUUGUCUGCUUUCCUUACUGCCUGGAGUAUUGCUCCUGGGCCUCAGAAGAUUGGCAUGUCUCUCUCCUUAUAAGAGUGGGGGCUCCACAGGAACACAGUGCCCCAGUGCCCAUGAUGAACCUCGGCAAAGCCCCCACUUGUGAGCUGAUUGACCUGGAAGGGUGGCUUCACCCUCUUUGGUCUUGUUUUCCUCCCCUGUAUCUGGGGCAGUAAUUGUACCCAUAUUACAGAGCACUGCUGUGAGCACUGAAGUCAAGGCACAUCCAGAACUUAGCAGAGGGGCCUGCAGGAGGUGGAUCGUCUCCCACCCUAGCUGUUAUUGUAAGACAAACCAGCGCCUGACACAUGGUAAGCAUUUGAUGAAUGAAUGAAAAUAUCAUAGGACCUAAGUCAGAAGACUGACGAGUUACAGUCCAGCCAAGGGACACCAAACAUCAGUGCCUGAUCCUCCUCGUUCAAAAACUUUUCCUUACUGACUGUAGGACCUUCUGCCCGGGACCUCAGUUUUCCCACCUGUCAGAUGGGCAGGACGUCUAUCCUAUGCCUGGUGCUCAGAGAUACAGAUGGAUCUGUCCAGGCGUGUGCAUGAAACUGCCUUGAAAUGUUUAAAGAGUAUAGGAAGGAAGGGAGGCUUUACUCUCAUGCAGGGUGGUUCCAUGUGCCUGGAGGCUUCACCCUCAUCCUCCAAGGGUUCCUGGGGCACGUGGGGUUUCUCUUUACACAAAGUGGUAGCCACAUCCCUGAGCCCCAACUCACUGGCAGAGUGUGGGAGGAGGGUCAGGUGAGUUUUACACUACAGAGUCCAGGCUAAUUAACUCGUUUGCUACUGACACAAGUUGAAUACACUCCAAGAAGUGGGUUCCCCCUCAAGGAAAGCUCCUCCUUUGACCGCAAGAGAGUGAAUAAUGUGUGGUGGCUUAAUGCUACCGCCAAUAUGGCAACUAGUUGGCGUGACUUGUGGCAGGAGAGCAGGGGAUCAGGUGACAACGGGAAGCAAGUCUGGGGCCACCUUGAGCACCAUGAGGGAGAGUCCCAACCUAGUUCAGCGGGCCCUGGGGAGCCACAGAGGACUUACAGGCAAGGGAGGAACAUGUCCAGAAAGAGAACACAGGCAGCUGCAAGAGGGAUGAAUUACAGCAAGGACGACACAGCUCCUUCCAUGCCACGUGGCCUCCAGGUAGGAUAACCAACCGCCCUGGUUCACCAGGGACACAGGGAGUUCCCAACACAUGGGAUCUUCAGUUUUAAAGCCAGGAAAGUCCCAGGAUGAGCUGGUUACCCUAAGUUAGUGUCAAAAGCGCCUCCUGGAGUUGUGCAAGACCGAUUCUGACUCCUGCCCUAUAAGGCAUGUUUUUCCUCCACUCUUCACCUGCUCUCAAAAAUAACCUAUCUCCUGUGCCACUCCCUCUCAGUUCUAGCCUGCUGAGCAACAACUGGCUUCCUGGAUGAAUACACAGGGAUGGACUGCACGCCGAUCCCUUCUGGGUAUUCAUCGUGCAUUUAAACAAUGGCCUCCUGGAGACAGUGUUUAAUCCAAUGGAGUGACUCUAACAGUAAGCAUUCUUAACUUAGGAGAGAUGGGAAGACUUUGGUGGGGGUGGAGGAGGAGGUAAGUGGGGAGUGGCCCACAUAGCAUACCCACAUUAUAUCCCCUCGGCAGCUAUCCAUUAUACCUUGCACAGAGCCAGCUCUGUCUUCCUGGCUCUCCACUAGCUCCCCCUGCCCUGCCAAGCAAGCCUGCGGGAGCCUGAGCUGCUUAAAUAUUCUGUAAAUAAUGCUGACUACGGAACUUUAUAGAUAGACUCACAGAAUCAGAACAAUAGAAUCACAGAACGUCAGAGCAGAAACAGAUGCGAGGCAUCAUAGAGUCCAGGGUCAGAAAACACACUGCACUCAUGCUGCCACUUCCCCUGCCAGGCUCGUGGCAGACAUCACUAAUCAAUCAUGACAUGGUCUCGCUGCGCUUGUUUGUAGCUGUACAAUCCUUCGAGGCAUUCCAGGAAGCAACUACCAAUUAUCUUGGGUCUACUAAUUAAAGCUAAGGUUUAUUGAAUGCAUUUACUAUAUUCCCUCUCCCACACCCUUUUUCAUUUUUACCACUUGAAUCACCAA